rnacentral:rRNA from 1 species
UUCGGAUUGUAGGCUGCAACUCGCCUACCAUGAAGUCGGAGUUGCUAGUAAUCGCGGAUCAGAAUGCCGCGGUGAAUGCGUUCCCGGGUCUUGUACACACCGCCCGUCACACCAUGGAAGUUGGGGGCGCCCGAAGUUGGUCGAGGAAUAGAUUACCUAAGGCGAAACCAAUGACUGGGGUGAAGUCGUAACAAGGUAAC